GACCAGACUCCUACGGGAGGCAGCAGUGAGGAAUAUUGGUCAAUGGGCGGAAGCCUGAACCAGCCAAGUCGCGUGAGGGAAGAAGGCCCUGCGGGUCGCAGACCUCUUUGGACGGGGAGCAAGGCCGCCGACGUGUCGGCGGAAGGAGAGUACCCGUAGAACAAGCAUCGGCUAACUCCGUGCCAGCAGCCGCGGUAAUACGGAGGAUGCGAGCGUUAUCCGGAUUUAUUGGGUUUAAAGGGUGCGCAGGCGGGGAUGCAAGUUGGGUGUCAAAACUACCGGCUCAACCGAUAGUCGCACUCAAAACUGCAACUCUUGAGUGAAGUAGAGGCAGGCGGAAUUCCUAGUGUAGCGGUGAAAUGCGUAGAUAUUAGGAGGAACACCAGUGGCGAAGGCGGCCUGCUGGGCUUUUACUGACGCUGAGGCUCGAAAGUGUGGGGAGCAAACAGGAUUAGAUACCCGAGUAA
rnacentral:rRNA from 1 species